rnacentral:miRNA from 1 species
AUGGAGGUCUCUGUCUGACUUAAGACAGCUAACUAAGUCUGAUAGUUCCCCUCCAUAAACC